rnacentral:rRNA from 1 species
AGAGUUUGAUCCUGGCUCAGGACGAACGCUGGCGGCGUGCCUAAUACAUGCAAGUAGAACGCUGAAGGAGGAGCUUGCUUCUUUGAUGACGAGUGGCGGACGGGUGAGUAAUGCUUGGGAAUCUAGCUUAUGGAGGGGGAUAACUACGGGAAACUGUAGCUAAUACCGCGUAAUAUCGAAAGAUUAAAGUGUGGGACCUUCGGGCCACAUGCCAUAGGAUGAGCCCAAGUGGGAUUAGGUAGUUGGUGAGGUAAAGGCUCACCAAGCCGACGAUCUCUAGCUGGUCUGAGAGGAUGACCAGCCACACUGGGACUGAGACACGGCCCAGACUCCUACGGGAGGCAGCAGUGGGGAAUAUUGCGCAAUGGGGGCAACCCUGACGCAGCCAUGCCGCGUGAAUGAAGAAGGCCUUCGGGUUGUAAAGUUCUUUCGGUAGCGAGGAAGGCAUUUAGUUUAAUAGACUGAGUGAUUGACGUUAACUACAGAAGAAGCACCGGCUAACUCCGUGCCAGCAGCCGCGGU